rnacentral:pre_miRNA from 1 species
GGAAAAUAGAAGGAGCUCCGUUUGGUCCAAUACCGAGAGCUGAGGAGUGGCUAGAGCUGCCAUUUCAUGCAUUUUGGCUAUCCUUAAGAUUUUCAUUGCAAAAAUUCAAAAGAAAGAAGUGAAGAGAGAGAGAGGAGAGAAGUUGAUCGUAAAUGUUAAGGGUUUGGCCACGUGCAUGGCGUGGGAGCAACUCCUUCCGCUCCCUUAGCUCACCCAUUGGACUGAAGGGAGCUCCUCUAUUUCUCAUC